UUGGAAGGGACAAACAUUCAGACCACACGGUAGCAUAUUUUUACUAAUCAAUUUUUUUUCUCUCCUUUUAUCAUACACAAAUAGGUUGGUUAGUUUUUAGUUUUCUCAGUCUGGUGUCCAUCUCUUGCUCUACUUUUUCAUAUGCCUGUACUUCUUGGACAAAAAGCCUCUGAUCAUCUUCUCAUAGCCAAACAUUCAUUAUAAGUACAUAUAAGCAUUUUAUUACUUUAUUAUGUUUCCUACUUUAGUCAAGCUUGGGCAUCUGCAUUGAAAUAUAUAUCAUUUUAUUUUAAUAUAGUUUAAUAUAAUUUCUCCUUUAUAUGAUGGUUAUAAAAUACAUUACAUUUUUAAUUAUAUGUACAGGUAAAUUAUUACCUAUUUGUUUCAUUUAAGAGUAGUCAAAGGAAUAUGUAUGUUUUAUUAGACUGGUAGUUUGUUAUGGCAAUUCAAGGAGAUUUUUUCUCUUAAGGUUUGUGAAUCUCAAACUUGGCUGUCUCUCAGAAUCUCCCGUGGAGUUUUACAAGAUGCAGCUGUCAGGUUCCAUCCAAACCUGAUGAUUGGAAGCUGAGGGUGGAGCCCUGAUAUCAGUGCUUUUAAAACACUCUCCAUUAACAGCCAUGAUGACAAAUCACAAGACUAUCUUAGCUUCUUUGUAUUGUGGCUACUAAAAUGUAAAAUCUUGAAAACAUGGAUUGUAUCCUUGUUUUGUGAAAAGAGCCCUAUCACAAUGCUACAAUGACUUUAAGAGGAUGAUCUAUCCAUGGAUAUCUUUGCUCCUCCAAGCCUGUUCUGCCUUUCUGGCUGGACUGGUUAGAAUGGAGAUAACUCUUAGGAUGACCUUGGAAGCCACCCAUUCAUGAUGACAGAGCCCUCAACAGCCUGAGUCCCUGAGUGACCACAUAAAAGAGGGUUAUGAUAUCAACAUGUUCGUGGACCCAGCAUUGUUAAGUAAAUAAGAAAUAAACUGCUAGGUGUUUGAGCCAUUAUACAUUUUGUAGCCUAUUGUUAUAGUAGGUGUCCUACUGUAAUGCAAGAUGAGAAGUAUUUUAUGACUUGCUGAUGGGAAAGUGAAUACGUUUGUAUAAAGAGGAAUAAAGACAGAGGAAUGUUUUGUAUACCUCCUUUUGUGGCCAUUUCCUACAUUCUUAAGGCUUUAGUAAACUUUGAGAAGUUAUUUAGAAGUCAUUUCUCUUCCCUAAUGCCAAUACUGCCACACUUUGUUAUGGAAACCACAAUCUAAAUUCUGGAACCACCUAGACAUCCCCCAUCAUGCUAUCCAUUCAUUCGGAACACUAACAUACUUCAUAGCAACCAAUUUGCUCAAAGAACUAAGGGGAAAGCCUAAGACACUUGAAUGUUUAGUUUGAUAAAGCCCUCAACAUUAAAACCCUCAACAUUACUGAAGACUUCAAAGAGAUUGCUUUAUGGCACAGAGGAACUGACUUCUCAUUACGCAAAGGAAAUUUAGAGCCAAACUUGCAGUCCAUCCUGGGAACUGUAAAGAUAUACUUCUGUGUGUGUGUAUGAGUUCAUUUUCACGCUGCUGAUAAAGACAUACUCGAGACUGGGAAGAAAAAGAGGUUUAACUGGACUUACAGUUCCACAUGGCUGAGAGGCCUUAGAAUCGUGGUGGGAGGCUCAGGGAAGCAGCUUAUCAAAGGACAUCAGUCAUCCCCCUUCCGCCAAGGAAGUGGCAGAGUUGCUUCUCCUGAAUUCAGUCCUCUCUGAUGACAAAGUCCAUGCUAUACCAUGUUGUCAGGAAACUAACAGGAGCCAUGAGGCUUGCUUAAGGCAACACCAAAAGUUGGUAGCAGAGAAAGGCUCCAAAGUUGAGUGGCUGCCUACAGAAUACAGUCAGCCAGAGAAGAGACAAUGAACCACUUAAUACUAUGAAGUGCCAUUUAUCUCAAAAUAAUGACAAUAAGCCAGCUCCCUGGAGAGGAAGCUUGGCAUUACAAAGGACUCCAGAGAGAACAGAAUCCAAUCUUCUCCAAUGUGACAACAAUGGGCAUACCUGACAAUGUGCCCAUUUACAAUUUCCAAGGGCCGUUCCUGUCAGAAACCUUCAACUGUUGAGAAUUAAUGAUUUUCAGUGUUUACAGUCAAUAUGUUUAAAAAAUGUUCUUUCAUCUAAAUACAGGGACUCUCUGAAUCACUGUCUUAUUUCUAAACAUAAAAACAUAAACAAUCUGAGUAAUUGUCUAAUAAUAUAAAGUGAGUGCAAACAAUCCAGAUCUGGAGAAAGAAAAUAAUCUUUGUGAUGAGAACUUGUUAUAAUUAAGCAUGAAACAAAUACUUCCUUGACCAGAGAGUGGCUUCUGAUCAAAGCAAACAGAAUGGCAUCUGCUUCAGCAUCCUUCGUUUCAUGAGGGCACCAUCAUGGCAAGAUGUGCCACAUUAACAAAGCAUGACUAUAUGGCAGACAGCAGCUGGCACUGCUUCAUGUUUAUGUUUAACAUAUAUGUUCCUGUUUGACAUUCCAUAGUCCCUUUUUUGCUAAACACUAAAGUACACAUUUUAGAGAUGUUGCCAUAAUUCUUUCUCCUAUCUUGUUUUCUCUUAACUUUGCACCUUGGGUAUUUAAAUGUCUAUGAAUUUUGACCCAUAUUCCUCUUUAUUAUUCCACCAAUUGAAAGAGAAAUGUUGUCUGAGGAUCAGUUUUGGAUGAACAGGUGAACAAGGCUAUAGCAUUUCAAGAGCAUAAGACAUUUCCAGGGGAACAAGUGGCCCUGUGAACAGUGAUGCAGAAGCCAGCAGCACACAGAAGGCAUCCGGGUAACUGGAGAAGGUUUGAGGAGUCAGGAGAGAAAAAGAGGACCUACGGUUGAAGAGAGGACAGAGGGCUGGAAUCAUGGUCUGGCUGGUUCUCCAGGGAGAGAAGUAGAUAAAGUUACCAGGGAGGGAGGUGCAUGAGGCUCUUCAGAAUUAAAUAUAUAGAACUGUGGUUAAGAGCGGUUUAGAAAAGAGGUAGAAAUAAUUAUUAAAUUGAAUGUGAAGGCCAAACCAAACAUUUAUUAGAGAGUAUAGGUUUUUACAUAUAAAGCUUUGACAUAUGAAUUUUUCUGAGCCUUGAGGAACUUUCACUGAAAGGGUGGUUUUCUGAUAGAGGUGGAUUCUCAGGGGUUAUGAGGCUAAAACCAGGGCCCACUGAUGAAUGAUGCAUGAACCCAUGUGACUCCACAGCAAUUCACCAUAGAGUUUUCAUCAGGGUCUCUCAACGGUAAGUCCCAAUCACAAUCAAUUAUUAUCCACAAGAUAAAUGUUGCUCUAAGUUUUCUCUAAAUCUAAUUACGUGGCAUAAUUAAUAGUCUCAGGAUAACAGCCAUGGUCGUCUCUAUUGUUGGUGUUACCCUGGAGUCCCCACUUUUUUUUAUUGUAAGCCUUGCUAAAGGCCUUUAAACUAAAACACUUCAUUACACUGAAAAAAGGCAUGAACCUACUCCGUUUAAGCCAGAGAUUCUCAUCAGUGAUGAUGAUAGCUGUUGUUGACUAAGGGCCUACAAUGGUCCAUGAACUGCAAUAGACACUUCCUACACAAUUUCCCCCUUAUCCACAAUAACCCAAGGAGAUGGGUCUUGCUUUUUCCAUUUAAUAAUUUGAUAUCAUCUAGAUCUGUGGAGCACUGAAGAGCAUGAUACAUUUCAGAAUGGUAAGAACAGAUGGGAAAAAUGAGGACUUUCCAGGUCCUCCUGGCCAUGUCUAGCAAAUAAGCAUCUAUUAAAUGACUGAAUGAUGUAACAUCUGUUGACAGUCCACAGGCUAAAUAGACUGUGAGGAAUCCAAAAAAAUACAAAUAGUUUAUAGGGAGAUUAGGAAAUACAUGCAUAAAGAGUGAGAGAAAAAUCCAGGUUAACUUUAAAAAUGCAAAGAAAAAAACCCCACACAACAGUAACAUUCAGUUUUGUAUACCUGGCACAAAGUCCAUAGUAGGAACUCAAUAAACAUUGAAUUAUUGAAUAAAUGAAUGAAAUCAACCAACUAACCAAAUCCUAGACUGUGUGGUAGUGACUGUAAGAAUUGAAAUAGUCUAGAGAGGAAAUUCAUUAUGGACUGGGGUAGUCGCAAAACUUCCCGAAUAAGGUGAGCUAGGCCUAGAAAAAUGAGAAAUAAUUGAAUGAUAUGCAGGAAAACUGAAUUCCCAUUGGGCAGAGGGGAUACUGUGGGCAGGCCCAGAGUCUCCACCAUGGCCCCCUUUGCAGCUCCAGCUCCCAUCCUUCCUCCGCAGCUGCUGCUUCACGGGCUUUUGCCCUGGGCCCAUCACUUCUGUUCUGAUUUGCCCUACACUUCAGCUCUGUCCAGCUAGUUCUCAGAAUGUCUUGAAGUUGGCAUCUUGGAUUAACCAGGAAUGCCUCUGUCCUUUGGUGUGGAGUGGAAAAACAAACAACGUGUGUCCUAUGGAUGAUUCCGGGUUUUUGCAAGCAAAGUAAUAAAUUAUUCUAAAUGGGGCAGAAAUGAUGACGAAUAUCUCCCACUCCCAAGCAGCUGUGAAAAUGGCUUCCCAUGGAAAUUUUGGCAUUUGAGAGACCCUCUCCAAACUUCCAGAAAGACAUUCCGAGCAGGUCCUCACAACAACCUUUCAAUUCCCCUUGUGCCUCGGCCACAAAAUCGGGGCCAAUAUAAACCCAGCCUCCUCAGACCUUGGCGACUGGGGCUCAACACAAAACCUUGGGUUCCUCCAUACACUGAGGUUUUGUUUCCCAGGUGUCAGAAAGGCAUCUUCUAGCUCAGGUUUCCUGAGCCGUUUCCAGCUUGGCUUCUGUCAGAGAUUCCUGGAGUCAGAGUCACUUGGUCAUUGGUCUCAUGAGAGGUAGAGCUGCCCCGUAUCAGGGCCAUGAAUCAGUUGGACUUUUAGAAAAAUCCAUAUCUCCAGUUGUGGAGAAAAAUUGUUGAUUGUGGUAUGACCACAUGCUUCAUAUGACUGAUUGCUUUUUUAUUCUGAAAAAGGCUCCUAAUGCUACAACAUUGUGUGUCAGUCUUGCCCUCUUUGAUGCUGUUUUUCAGGAACAAUAGGAGACAUGAGGAGCCCUGCUCAGCAGCAGAUCCGCUUUUCUGGGGCACAGCUCACUUUUGUAGGGAAAAGAGUGGUUUCGCUUUGUACAGGGUUGAGAGACAGCUUCUGUUUGCUUACUGCUCUCCUGAGCCAGCAGUACUGUCCUUGAUAGAAAAGAGGAGCUGCCAGCCGCUGUGUUAUCUCAUGAAAAAGACAACUAUAAACUAUGUCAGCAUACAGUGCCUUGAAUUUCUACAAUAGCGUUUCUGCCCUUCAAGAGCAAAGAAGUGCCAAGAAGAUCCUAAGAAAGAAGUGCACAGAAGAUCCUAAGAAAGAAGCGAAGGAACAAGGAUGGAGUAUGAAAGUUUAACUAGUCUGAGAAGGAGGCAGACAGGGGCCAAAUCCUGCAGUGAGAAAUAUAGUCUUGAGGUUUGGGUGCCAGUCUUUAAUAAAAUACUUUCUUGUGAGGGCUGAAAGUUUUUUCCCCCUGGGUUGUAAAAACCCUGGGUCUAUGAAUCCAACUUUUUGGUGGCAAAAAUCCUGAUAUUUCUUGCAUAAUAGUUUUAAAAACUCACUCUGCCAUAGGAACAGAAACAAAACAAUAAUGCAGGAAAAGUCUAUAUGGAUCUGGAGGAAAUAUUUUUUAUUACUGAGAUCAGAGCAUCCACUGUGUGGAUCAUACAACUCUGGCUAAUUUUACUUCCUGUCUGGGGUACUUUUUCUCAGUAAAAGUUCGGGGUGGGGAGUCUUAACACUUAAUAGGCCUGCCUUCUCUGAAGUUCCCAGAUUGCCCACAUGAAAGCUGUCAGCACGUGCCAGCCCUCCACCGAAGAAGGCACAGGUUCAGGACCUGGCACCAUGUAGCUGAGUGGCACUGCUCCCAGAACUCUCAUCCAAUAAAGAGCCAUUGUGGGAUCUGGACCCUACAAUGUACAGGACAAACGACUGAAAUGAAAAGCACAAUGCACGUGAGUGGAAACAGAAACCUGAAUGGAGUGGUAAUCACUUCCUUAGUGUGGAUCACAUCAUUUAUCAUGGGACUUCAUUCUGUAAUUCAGUCCUUGCCUAGUGUAAUAGUACAGAUUUCCAUUUAUUAGUUGAUAAGUGAGAAUGAUUACUGUGAUAACCAUUAGGCAACACAGGUUACUAGUGGUGGUGGGGAAGAGAAGUGGAAAAUUGUCAUGGGAGGUGGGAAGGGAUUGGCAUUCAUCAGAAAGAGACAAAAACACAAGAAAAGAGAAGGAAGGGCUGAUUCCAUUAAGCAACACAGGUUCCUAGCAGUGGUGGGGAAGAAAAGUAAAAAAUUGUUAGGGGAAGCGGGAAGGGAUCAGCACUCAUCAGAAAGAGACAAAAACACGUGGAAAGAGAAGGAAGUGCGGAUUCUCUAUGUAUGUGAUCAAUACAAGCUGCAAUUCAGCUAUUGAGGAAUUUGAGACUAUGUCUAAUGGCAUAAGAAACUAAGUCAGGCCCAGAGAUUCGAAAUAGCUAUGAUUUCUAUGUGAGAAUGAGGGAUGAGGCACAAAGUGGGGUUAGAGCCAGGGGGAAAGGUGGAGCUUAAGGGGAGCUGCUGUACCGCUGAUACCCAAUGUGAGCUUUAGGUCCCAGAGGCUGUAGAGCUAGAGCUUAGAUCCAAAUACCAAGAGGCUAGGAGGAGUCAGGGCACUAAUUCAGGCUGAACCAUAGUUUCCAUCUUGGUGACAUAGAGUAACUCUUUAUACAACAGCCAGCCUCACUACAUUGAAAACAAAAACAAAACAAAAACAAAAACAAAAACAAAAAACAGAUGUUGCUCUUAGCUAAGCUUUCUCAAACAAAUAAAUACGAAGGGGCAGUAGAAUCAGACUUCAUAGAGCAAAUGGAAAAUGUUCUUUCAGCUGGACAAUUUAUUGCAUUCCACAUUCUUCUGUUUUAGAAACAGGUUUUUCUAUCUCUAAGCCAACUAUAUUUUUAGCUAGUCAGUUUUGACCAGAAACAUGGUCUGUCUCAAAUAACCCUCUUUCUUUACUAUCUGGAGCCUGGAAUUGGUCACAAUUUCUUAACAGAAUUACUUGGUCUACUUAUUUUCAGACAUAAUAUAACUAUCAACUAACAUAUGUCUAUAUACAUGUACCAUUUGAAUAAAAACAUCCUAUCUGUGAAAGCAUACAAAAAUUUUAGCUCAAAGGCCAUUUGAUUCAAUGCCAAAUUACAAUUUUUCAUGUGUCUAUUUGGCUAGCAUGGUUCUACCUUUAUAAGGAAUCUGCAAUGUUGGUAGGUUAUUUUAAAACGUGUGUCAGUAGUUUCUUUCUAUUUAUGACAUUAUGCCUUUGGAGUGGGUAGAUCGUAUCUGGUUGAAAACUACAAAUAAACAUUUCAUCCAGCAUUGAGUUAUCUUGUGUUAUCA
rnacentral:lncRNA from 1 species